GCCACUGCACCCAGCCUUCCUACUAGUUUUUAGCCACAAACUAACAGUCAGCUCCCACCCCCGCCCUCUACAGCAGCGGGAAAAGUCAGCCCAGAUCUACAUUGCCCACAAGUUUCUCACCUCUGUAUCCUCCUUGGACGGCCUUCUAAUUGCAGGCCCUUUUGCUCCCCUCACCAUGGGCAAGUCUUAGGUGGAAGCUGGAGCACCAAUGGCUUCUGGGGGUGUCCAGACUUGCAAUCCCAAGACACCCGGCCCCCUGCUCUUAUCCUCUCCUUUCAGGUCAGGUCUCAGAUCCGGAUUCUUUAAGGGCCAACUUUGCAUUCUGGGCUAGUGAAUGACAACUAGGGCACACCCUCUUCUCAACAGCCUGCACCUGAUUCCCUUUUAAAGGGGAAAUUACAUUUCUCGUUAAGACUGAAAGAGGCUGCUGAACCUUGCAGAAGAUUACUAUGUUGUUCUCAGGACAGCUGGAGGAAUUUCUGAAAGAACAUCAGUGUUCCUGACUUCCCUGAUUACCGUUACACUGAGAUUUUUGAUGGGACAAAGUCUUCAAAAGAGGGUGGCGAGGCUAGGAAAGGGUUCUCCUGUUUGGUAACUGCAACAGCUGCUGUGGGUGUCACAUAUGCUGCCAAGAAUGUCAUCUCCCAGCUUGUUUCCAGCGUCGAUGCUUCUGCUGAUGAGUUGGCCAUGUCAAAAAUUAAAAUCAAGUUAUCUGAUAUUCCAGAAGACAAGAACAUGGUUUUCAAAUGGAGAGGCAAACCCCUGUGUGUAUGCCAUAAAACCGAAAAGGAAAUUGUCCGAGAAGCUGCAGUUGAAGAGUUCCAGUUGAGGGCCCACAGCAUGAUUUCAGGGCCAGGCGCCGUGGCUCACACCUGUAAUCCCAGCACUUUAGGAGGCCGAGGUGGGUGG